GUGGGGAAUCUUCCACAAUGGACGAAAGUCUGAUGGAGCAACGCCGCGUGAGUGAAGAAGGGUUUCGGCUCGUAAAGCUCUGUUGUCGGGGACGAAUGUGCAGUAUUUGAAUAAAGUACUGCAAUGACGGUACCUGACGAGGAAGCCACGGCUAACUACGUGCCAGCAGCCGCGGUAAUACGUAGGUGGCAAGCGUUGUCCGGAAUUAUUGGGCGUAAAGGGAGCGCAGGCGGGAAGGUAAGUCGGUCUUAAAAGUGCGGGGCUCAACCCCGUGAUGGGAUCGAAACUAACUUUCUUGAGUGCAGGAGAGGAAAGUGGAAUUCCUAGUGUAGCGGUGAAAUGCGUAGAUAUUAGGAGGAACACCAGUGGCGAAGGCGACUUUCUGGACUGUAACUGACGCUGAGGCUCGAAAGCCAGGGGAGCGAACGGGAUUAGAUAACCCCGGUAGUCC
rnacentral:rRNA from 1 species